rnacentral:pre_miRNA from 1 species
GGUGAGUGUUGAACACUUUAUAAGUGAGAGGACCCAUACACCCAAUGCCUUAAGUUUUGAGUAAAAGAUGUGGUGUCCAAUCCACUUGUGGUGUGCUCUUAUUAACC